GCCGGUGUUGCUCAGUGGGUAGAGCGUCGGCCUGCAGCCCAAAGGGUCCCGGGUUCGAUUCCGGCCAAGGGCA
rnacentral:tRNA from 1 species